UUCAGCAGCUAUGGUAUAUCACCCUGCAGCUCACACCUGGCUGCCCACUGAAGCUCAGCAGGUGUGAGCCUGGUCAGUACCUGGAUGGGAGACUUCCUGGGAAAAACUAAGGUUGCUGCUGGAA
rnacentral:rRNA from 1 species